ensembl:miRNA
AUCACCUGGGGAUCUUGUUAAAUACAGAUUCUGCCUCAGUAGGACUGGACAGAGGCCUGAGAUUCUGCAUUUCUAAUAAGCUCCCAGGUGAUGCCAGU